rnacentral:sRNA from 1 species
AAUAAGAGGCGGGACGGGCCCUGCGUUUUUGCUGCCGGAUUUACCGUCGCCGGCACCACAUUCGUGCGUAAAUCUCGGAUC